GAUGAAGAACGUAGCGAAAUGCGAUACUUGGUGUGAAUUGCAGAAUCCCGUGAACCAUCGAGUCUUUGAACGCAAGUUGCGCCUCAAGCCAUUAGGUUGAGGGCACGUCUGCCUGGGCGUCACAUAUCGUUGCCUGAUGCCAGUUUCCUCGUGAUGGGUGACUGUGCAGGGCGAAUGAUGGCUUCCCGUGAGCAUUGAUGCCUCAUGGUUGGUUGAAAAUUGAGUCCUUGGUAGGGAGCGCCAUGAUAGAUGGUGGUUGAGUGACGAACGAGACCCAAUCAUGUGAGACCCCUACCGAAUUUGGCCUUCAUGACCCACAUGCGUCUUUGGAACGCUCAUGACGAGACCUCAGGUCAGGCGGGGCUACCCGCUGAGUUUAAGCAUAUCAAUAAGCGGAGGA
rnacentral:misc_RNA from 1 species